UGGGGAAUUUUGCGCAAUGGGCGAAAGCCUGACGCAGUAACGCCGCGUGGAGGAUGAAGGCCUUCGGGUUGUAAACUCCUGUCAGGGGGAAAGAAGGACUCGAGGAUAGAACACGUCCCCGGGUUCUGACGGUACCCCCAAAGGAAGCCCCGGCUAAUUCCGUGCCAGCAGCCGCGGUAAUACGGAAGGGGCUAGCGUUGUUCGGAAUCAUUGGGCGUAAAGGGCGCGUAGGUGGUCUUAUGUGUCCGUCGUGAAAGCGCACGGCUCAACCGUGCUUGGUCGGCGGAAACUGUAAGACUUGAGGCUGGGAGGGGCUGGAGGAAUUCCCUGUGUAGCGGUGAAAUGCGUAGAGAUGGGGGAGAACACUCGUGGCGAAGGCGUCCAGCUGGACCAGUCCUGACACUGAGGCGCGAAAGCGUGGGUAGCAAACAGGAUUAGAUACCCCCGUAGUCC
rnacentral:rRNA from 1 species